ACAGACAGGUGGAGAGAGAGAGAGACAGGUGGAGACAGACAGAGAGACAGGUGGAGACAGACAGGUGGAGAGAGAGAGACAGGUGGAGAGAGAGAGACAGGUGGAGAGAGAGAGACAGGUGGAGACAGACAGGUGGAGAGAGAGAGAGACAGACAGGUGGAGAGAGAGACAGG